CAAAGGAAUAGACGGGGACCCGCACAAGCGGUGGAGCAUGUGGUUUAAUUCGACGAUACGCGAAGAACCUUACCUGGCCUUGACAUAGUUAGAACCUAAUAGAGAUAUAAGGGUGCUAGUUUACUAGAGCUAACAUACAGGUGCUGCACGGCUGUCGUCAGCUCGUGUCGUGAGAUGUUGGGUUAAGUCCCGCAACGAGCGCAACCCUCGUGUUUAGUUGCUAACAGGUUAAGCUGAGGACUCUAGACAGACUGCCUGGGUAACCAGGAGGAAGGUGAGGACGACGUCAAGUCAUCAUGGCCCUUACGGCCAGGGCUACACACGUGCUACAAUGGGAUAUACAAAGAGCAGCGAUACCGCGAGGUGGAGCAAAUCUCAUAAAAUAUCUCCCAGUUCGGAUUACACUCUGCAACUCGAGUGUAUGAAGUUGGAAUCGCUAGUAAUCGUAGAUCAGCAAUGCUACGGUGAAUACGUUCCCGGGUCUUGUACUCACCGCCCGUCACACCAUGGGAGUUGAAUUCAUUCGAAGCGGGGAUGCUAAAAUAGCUACCUUCCCA
rnacentral:rRNA from 1 species